AAGACUUUUAAGUCAAAGGGUGGAAAUCCCGGGGGCUCAACCCCGGAAACUGCCUUUGAUACUGGAAGUCUUGAGUAUGGUAGAGGUGAGUGGAAUUCCAAGUGUAGAGGUGAAAUUCGUAGAUAUUCGGAGGAACACCAGUGGCGAAGGCGGCUCACUGGACCAUUACUGACGCUGAGGUGCAAAAGCGUAAGGUGCAAACAGGAUUAGAUACCCUGGUAGUCCACGCCAUAAACAAUGAAUGUUAGCCGACGGGGAGUUUACUCUUCGGUAGCGCAGCUAACGCAUUAAACAUUCCGCCUGGAGAGUACGGACGCAAAAUAAUCUCGAGGAAUUAAAGGGGGCCCGCACAAAAGAAGUACAUAUAGAAAAAUCGAAGCAUCACGCGUUCCUUCCUGCCCUUGAAAUACCGGUCGCGAACACAUGAUGUGUCAAACAAUUCGGCUGGAACAAAAAAGGUAAAAAAAAAAAAGUCAAAACUCGUGUCAUAGUAGAUGAAAAUAAAACAAGCACGUGCGCUACCCUCGCCCUUGUUGCAGCAUUUGUUUGGGAACUCUAAGGGGUAUGCAAAAUGUUAUGACCGUGUGGUGGUGGGGUUGUCGUCAAGGUACUCUUGGCCCUUACUGACUGGACAUAAACAAAAUGCUAAAAUGAUGGUGACAGUGGGCAGCGUGCACCUGUGUGUGCUAAUCUCCUUUUACCAUCUCUGAUCAGUUUGCACUCUGCUACAUCGUGUGCAU
rnacentral:rRNA from 14 species